rnacentral:tRNA from 1 species
AGCGGGGUAGGGCAGCCUGGUAGCCCGCGGGGCUCAUAACCCCGAGGUCGGUGGUUCAAAACAGACAGCCACCU